rnacentral:rRNA from 1 species
GAUCCUGGCUCAGGAUGAACGCUGGCGGCGUGCUUAACACAUGCAAGUCGAACGAAGCACCUUAUUCUGAUUUCUUCGGAAUGAAAAAUUUGGUGACUGAGUGGCGGACGGGUGAGUAACGCGUGGGUAACCUGCCUCAUACAGGGGGAUAACAGUUAGAAAUGACUGCUAAUACCGCAUAAGCGCACGGCAUCGCAUGAUGCAGUGUGAAAAACUCCGGU